rnacentral:rRNA from 1 species
UGACGGCCUUCGGGUUGUAAACCGCUUUUAGUAAGGAAGAAGGGCAGCCUUUGGCUGUUUGACGGUACUUGCAGAAAAAGGACCGGCUAACUACGUGCCAGCAGCCGCGGUAAUACGUAGGGUCCGAGCGUUGUCCGGAAUUAUUGGGCGUAAAGAGCUCGUAGGCGGUUUGUCGCGUCUGCUGUGAAAUCCCGAGGCUCAACCUCGGGCCUGCAGUGGGUACGGGCAGACUGGAGUGCGGUAGGGGAGAAUGGAAUUCCUGGUGUAGCGGUGGAAUGCGCAGAUAUCAGGAGGAACACCGAUGGCGAAGGCAGUUCUCUGGGCCGUAACUGACGCUGAGGAGCGAAAGCGUGGGGAGCGAACAGGAUUAGAUACCCUGGUAGUCCACGCCGUAAACGUUGGGCGCUAGAUGUGGGGACCUUUCCACGGUUUCCGUGUCGUAGCUAACGCAUUAAGCGCCCCGCCUGGGGAGUACGGCCGCAAGGCUAAAACUCAAAGGAAUUGACGGGGGCCCGCACAAGCGGCGGAGCAUGCGGAUUAAUUCGAUGCAACGCGAAGAACCUUACCAAGGCUUGACAUAACCGAGAACGCCGCAGAAAUGUGGAACUCUUUGGACACUCGGUUACAGGUGGUGCAUGGUUGUCGUCAGCUCGUGUCGUGAGAUGUUGGGUUAAGUCCCGCAACGAGCGCAACCCUCGUCGCAUGUUG